UUAGAUUGACGAAUAUGAAUGGGUAACGAACGGCUAAGAUUGAACGUGCUUGUCUAAGUGGAUGCCAUUGCGGGAUUUAAACGGAUUGGGCACAGCACUCAAUCGGGGCGGAUCAUACGGAACCGAUAAUUGGAUCCGAUCCGAUAUUACCUAGGUAAGCAUGAACUAUUCCAAACAAAUAAUUUGACUGACUAGUGUAUAUUCUUAAUUAAGAGAGUCGUUUGUUGUAGGGAUAGUAACUACAGAUCUGACUUAUGGUGCACACUGUCCUAAAUUAAAUCAAACUAAUUCAAAUAUCACUGAUAUCUUUUUUAUCACAUUUGAUUAGUUAAAUUUGGAUCUAACCAAAUCUUUAAUCAAAUAUCAAUAUUCUAGAUUCAGAAAAAAAAAAAAAAAAAAGGGGUCGAGGACUCUAAAGGGUUAGAUAUAGGGCACAUUUAUGGUGCAAUAUUAGAGAAAUCUACAAAACAAAGGUGUCGAGCUUUCUUGAUCAUCAUAUUUGAUGCUCCAAUUUGGGAGUACACAAACUAAAGCUUCAUGAAUUCUUGAAGCAAUAGAUCAAAUAACAAAGGAAAGAAAUAGUGCACCUUUACAUGUGUUUUUGGUCCUUUUUUUUAUGUUGGGAGACACUAUUUUUAUAGUGUUAGAAUUAUAAUUAUGUACCAUUAAAGAAAAUUGAUUGAAUCUAAGAAGUAAUAAAUAAUAUUCUUCAUCUUAGCAUGUAUCAUGUGUAGAACAGAUUUAUAGUUGGAGAGAGAUUAUCGAUUUUUUUUUCGUAUUAUCUGAAAAGUGGAGUGCUAGUCAAGAUAUCAUAAGCUUAAGUAAUUAUCAUCUUGAAUGCGAGAGAUUACUAACCACUCUUUGUGUUUUUUUUGUCAGGUUGACGUAGGAUACUUGGAUCAAAAAUAGAACUGCAAGUGCACCAGCUAAGAUAUUACGAACUCGAGUAAUUAUUAUUUUAAUAUGUAUCAUGUGCAGAAUAUAUUUAUAGU
rnacentral:lncRNA from 1 species